rnacentral:rRNA from 1 species
GACGAACGCUGGCGGCGUGCUUAACACAUGCAAGUCGAACGAAGAGCGACGGAAGCUUGCUUCUAUCCGUCUUAGGGGCGAACGGGUGAGUCACGCGUAAUCAACCUGCCCUUCAGAGGGGGACAACAGAAGGAGACGACAGCUAAUACCGCAUACGACCUAAUCACGGCAUCGAGGGUGGAUGAAAGGUGGCCGCGACAUGUCAGCUGUCACUGAAGGAGGGGGUUGCGGCUGAUGUGCAAGGUGGCGGGGUAACGGCCCACCACGGCGAUGAUCAGUAGCCGGUCUGAGUGGAUGGGCGGCCAGAUUGGGACGGUGACCCGCCCCAUUCUCCUUCGGGAGGCAGCCGUAGUGCAUCUUCCGCAAUGGGCGGAAGUCUGUCGGCGCAACGCCGCGGGAGUGAUGACGGCCGUCGGGUUGUAAAGCUCUGUUAACCGGUACGAAAGGCCUUCUUGCGAAUAGUGAGAAGGAUUGACGGUACCGGAAUAGAAAGCCACGGCUAACUACGUG